UUUAAGAACCCACUAGCUUAGCUUAGCUUAGCUUGACAUCAGUUUAGCGUUAACUGCGGCUAGCUAAACUGGCCCCAUUAGAGAAGCCAACCAGCUGCGUCACACUCUGUCAUUAACGAGGACACUGUUGCUCCAGAAACGCCUCUCGGCCUCGACGCGAUCAACAGGUGCAGCAAGUCCCAGAUGCUUAAGACGGCACAACCGCUACCAAUUCCCCGGGCCUUGAUGUGAACUCCGGUCCUGCUUCCAGGACGGAAUCAUUUUCUAUGAUUGGAGACACUCGAAUGAAAGAAUAUUGUGUUUCUGUCUUUGGCCUGUCUGACAGGGAGAAUUUUACAGAGCACUCCGUGAUCGAUAUUUGCCGAUCCGUCUGCCCGUAUCAACCUCAAAUAAAAGCAGAGAGCAGGAGACAAGGCAGCACAAGCAGGUCGUCGGGAGGUCUGCUGCACCACCCUCCCCCGUUUGAAGUCUGCGAAAGCACUCAUCAGUGUGUAGAACCGGCCUCGACUUGGCACGCCGGGUCACCGCCGCCUCACCCUGAGCAGCGCACGGUUGAUUGUCUCGCUGUCGGGGCGUGCAGGGUUGUUGUUUUCAGAGGUGAGAGGACAGGUCUUUUCCGGCAAGCUGGGCUAGGGUUUUUUAAUAGGGCCCCUCGCCGGCCUGCCCAGGCCGACACACCGAUCAUGAUGAUCGGGGGGGGGAACCCGUCGGAGACUCACUCCUCCUCCUCUUGCCAGACCUCAGCUCAUGUUACUGUAUUUUUAUUCAUCGCGUGUGCGUUCCAUUCUUGAUGGACUGACUGGGGGGAAGAUGGGGGUGGGGGGUGGGGGGGGUGCAGGCUAAACAACCCUGUGUGCCUCAAUGAGCCGUGGUUAAAUGGUACACGCCUUGGAAAACACAGGGAGAACUGACUCGGGAGCCUGGCGGCAUUUAGGGCAAGGAGCUGCUUACGUUAGCUGACACGCUGAUAUAAUUAGGUUGUAAUAAAUAAGAGAGGAGAGCUGGGGGGGUGGUGUCUCAACAGUGGCCAUUAGAGAACCACAUAGGUUGCAUUUCAAUAAAGAAGAAAAAAAGUCACCUGUCUACUGGGAAAUAGACACUUUCUCCGACGCACAUUUAGUCAGUGUCCUACUUGCAGAGUCCUUCUGCGUGUAGUUCUAAGCCCCAGAUGCCCGUCCCUUUAAGCGAGCUAACUGAGGGGGGUUGUAGGCUGAAACCAAACUGUAAUUAGUGCACUUUGAGAGCAGGUACGAAGGCGAGCCUCAUCACCGCCGCUUUCCCUGAGACUUAAGCCUCGUUGAGACGAGGCUGUAACCUCCUACAAUGAAGCGGUAAUUAGCUUUAUUAGCUUUCGAUUCCCUUUUACUUUUGGCAAAGUGGGUGAGGCUUAGCUUUGGCCUCCGUCGAGAUGAAUCGCAGAAAUCGGUUAAUCUCGUCUGUCUGUGUUUUAUCUCCACCGAUGUUGCUGUAUUUCACGCCGGCUACCUGCUGUUCGUCUUGGCGACAUGCAUGUGCACGAGCGGGUAGUAAUGAGAGGCAUCGGGUUUUAAUAAGCAGAGCUUUACCCACAGAUCCUUCUGUGAUUUGCAUCCGUGUCGGACACGAGGCGUAAAGCGGCGUGAUUGAUUCAUGGUUCGUCCCAUAUUAGAGCGAGACGGGGAGGAGAGAGACGGAAGGAAGGCCGCAGAUUUACUAUGAAGCUCAGCGACAAAGGGAGGAAGAGAGCGUGCAUAUGUUAAUCCGCUGGCUGAACGAUGAUCAAAGACUGGAACAAGCUCAGCCCUGCUGAUCGCCUCGGGGCAAACGAUGCUCUCCAAGCAGCUGGGAUAGUGUGCAGACGAGGAGUAAACAGAUAGUUGGAAAAAUCCAUAGGCGAGGGUUCGGUGCCGGAUGCUUGGUCCGGGGUUAGUGCCGCGUGGAGGGAAGUCUGGAAACCAGCGGCGCUUUUAGGCCAAUUUAAGAGAAGCGAUGUGUUUUACAGCAGCGUUGUGUCCAGGAGUGAAGGAAGUUCAAAAUGAGGUUACGGCUGCUCUGGUCAGUAUGAGGGGAAAAAAACAGUCCUGGCUCAGACUUGAAUAUCUAAAGACUUAAAUUAUGGGCAUGCGGCCGGGGCGUGUGCUUGGAUCGAGGACCCCACAUCCGCUCAUUUGGGUUUUUAAGGAAGAAGGAUUUUCUUUUUAAGUGUCCAAACCCCCAGUGUGGGGCUCGUUUUUUUGUUUUCCGUUGCGCCCCCCCCCCCCCCCCCAUUCAUCUUUAGACUGACCCAAACUAUUCCCACAAGGCCUCUGCUUCAGGUACCCGCGCUCGCUGGCUGCUUUGGGAAUUUGUGCCAUCUCUGUGAACUCCCCUCAAGCCUCAAUUUGGGUUUGAAUUUUGCAAUUGUUCCCUCGUCAAAAACAUUCUCCUAUACGUCCUUUAUGUAAAUGAUUGUAGAAAGUCGAGAACUGUCUCUUUCAUCAAAGCAUUCACCUUCUGCUUCUUAAUCUACAAUAGCUGUUGGAAAAUAAAGAAUUAUCCGUCACUGCUCCAUUCAUUAUGAAUUCAUAUCUUUGUUUGUCGCUAGCUGAAUAAUUACGAUGACUUAGCUUUUUACCCCUAAGCUUUUGCCGUCUUUUGACUUCCUCCACUUCUGAGGCGGAUUGUUUUUGUGAUUAGUCACUUUGUUUAAUCUGGUAAUGAUGGCGUCCCCUCAGGCUAAAUGCCUGAUUUCUGCGCACCAGUUUAUUUAUUCAUUUGUACUUUUGACGUGUUAAUCUGCAUAAACGGCGCCGAGCUCCACCAGGACCCCAGAACGUCUCCCUGCACCUGUCAAUUACCACAAAUCUGAGACACCUGGAAGCAGCCACCCUGGUCUCGGCGCUGCGAUCGGGUUAGAAGUCUGCCUGUCAAUCAGCCCUGUCCUGUCGCGGACGUAUUGCUAUUCAGCCCUUCAUCUCCAGCUCAACACUGUAGCAGUGAUUGAUCACAGCUGCUGCUAAUUAGGAUUGAUUGUGCAGUGGCACAGAAACGCACAAUACAGUACUACACAAUGCAAUUAUCUUUUUUUUACUCUUAGGCCUCACUGUUUGGGCCUCAGACCACUUGACAAUGGUUCAGUAUAUUUUAGAUAUGUUUAUCAUUAAUUGCAUUUGUUUGAAUAUUAGAAGAGAAAAAAUCAUGCUUUAUUUCUCAACAAGCCAGCACGGAUUAGAUUAAAGAUGUACUUCAUUUUGUGUCACACAAAGACUACUUUGUUAACAACCGUUUUAAAGACAAUUAAGACUUAAUUUGUAAGGCAAGCGGAUGAUUUUGGAAGACUUGGAAUGUACUGAGGCUGCACGAGUGUGUCAUUUUAAUGGCAGUGAUUUAGGGCCAAUGUAUUUAUAAUGUUGCCACUAUAGCAGACUGGCAUAUGCCACUUAAAUUAGGAAGCAGUUGUGAAUGGGUAACAGAUUAUAGGAAAAUAUUGUCAUACCAGUAGAGCAAACUCAAAAAGUUAAGGAGAUCUGAAAGUUAUUUCUUAAUUAAUACAUUAUUUGAUCAAAAUUAAAUUAAGGUAGGAGAUAGAGCCUUUGUUUUGGGGUCAGUGAGUCGAUCCUCGGCUCCUCCUGUCCACAUGCACAAUCCAAUCGGCUCCUGACACUGUCAGUGUGUGUGUGCGUGUGUGUGUGUGUGUGUGUCUCUGUGUGUGUGCAUGUGUGUGCGCGCGCGCUAGAAACAUGCCAUGUAGUCCAUUCACUAAAUGUGUGUGGCCCAUACAGGAUGAUUCGUCUAGAACCAAAUGAAAUCCGUCCCAAACUUUAAACCACGUGUAAAUAUCUGCAGAGUAGCUUUUGAGGUUCUGUCAGACGAGCAGACCCAGAGGACUGCAAAGAGAACUGUGUUGAUGGUAAUUUGCGACGUUUCACAAGGUUUGAUCAGAGACUUGAAAUGGACAGAGCAGCCUCCCCGGGGAGUUUACAACAGGCCGAAUGUCGAAAAGGAUGCCGCUGACCUCUCUAGCCAUUAGCAAUUGCUGCGGUUUGUUGGACAGCUGGAAGCCUGUAAUUUACGGCAGCGUGGCCCGGUGAGCCCUGCAGCGGGCCUCUGCUUAGCCCAUGCAAAUGUUCCCAAAUGAAACAAAUGGGAAAUAUCAACAAGCUCUGAGUAAUAAAAAAUGCAUGUGGGCUGCGCUGCCGGACUUGCUUCCCGCAGACGCAGGGAAGUUACCGCUCAUUAACCGGGCCGUGAUAAAGUGCACGAGCGCCGCCGUCGAGCAAAAGCAAUGCAUUCCGCUGCGUCCAAUAACGGCUGCCGCCGACCACGCGCCUGCUUGUGGAAUCUAUUUGCAGCAGUUUGCUAUGGAGGAGAAACAUUGUUACUGGCUGCAGCGAUUAAUUUCUCCCUCUCUGAGCUUCGACGUGUGUCUCCUUGGCUAAAAAUCCAUGCAUAUGAAGUGUAGAUGUUUUAUUCAUUGUAAUUUAUACACAAGUGUGGUUGUACACGAAUGUGAAGACUUUCCCGCUAACAACCCCCCACAGUACAUUUAAAAAGUGGAGUCUGCUGUCUUCAUUGCUGUGCCGGGGGACUGCGAUGUCAGCUUUCAACAGCAACCGUGAUUCAAGUCCUCGGUCCUUCUACCUGCCUCCCGAAUGUCAGGAGUCGCGACGGGUUCUCGUUCAUUCUGCCAUGCAAACCAGCUGUUUGGCUGGAAGACGUCUGAAUAUUAAAGAGGGCGACGCGACGGCUGUCGCUAAGAGCACAGCGGGGCAUUCGGAGCCCACAAACAUAAAAACACGAGACGGGAUUAUGAGGAGUGGGCGAGGCUGGUUUUAUGGCUGCUGGGGGACUUGUAGUCCGCUGCGGUUUGUGGAUUGUUUGGAAAAAGUAGAUGUGGUCAGCUGACAGACGGGGCCGAUGUUUCUGCAUGUUUUAUCAGUUAUUAUUGCUUAUUCAAACCGACAUUUCUUUCUUCUCACCUUCCAUGUGCUGUUUGAUAAAUCUAUUUUAUCCACCUCAAAUUUGCUACACAGAUACAAAUACAUAAUCGUGCAAGUUGCCAACUAACUAAAGGCCAAACUUCCUAAGUUACUCUAUUCAAAAGUCUUCGUAAGCAAAUUAGGAACAUCAAAACAUCUUUCAGCGCUCUACAUGUUGACUUUAUCCCAUCAUGUUUCCAUUCAGAGCUGAAUUACCUUCUCUUGGUUGGUCCACCUCUUUGGUCCAAAGUUAUAUUAAUGUCCAGUUUGUUUACUUAAAGAAUAAAGAAAAAUAAUUUUCUGUUCAUUGUUGUAAAAUCACGACUAACGUUUGUAAUGUAAAAUAUAAAACAUAAAAAAAAAAAAAAAUUCUUAUGAUUAUGAUCUUCUCAACCUCUCCUAAGACUAAAAAAUGCUGUCAAAAGACGAACCCUUUUUGACGACUGAUAACAUUUGUGUGAACUUUGACAUGUGCAUGUUGCCCAUGCAGAUGAAAGGAUCAUCAGCUAUUCGGGGGGAGAAAAAAAAACUUCACUUCUCAACUAGGGUUAAUGCUUUUGGCAGUGCACUGACGUCAACAGCUGUUCUCAAACAAGCUCUUUGAUGACUCAUUGACAGCGAAAGCUCCCAAUUGCCACUUCCACUAACUGGGGAAAUGUCAGCGGAUGCGCUCAGCAGAGGCUGAUGAUCCCAGUCCCUCUGCUGCUGCCGCCUGCCAGAACGCAGCACUGAUGAAAUAGCUGUGGUGUUAAUGGAUGUGAGAGCGAUCUUGACCUCCUCCAAAGAGCCGACUCUCUGUCUCCAUUAAAAGAAAAGCGGCCUUUGCUUUGGUCUGGAUCAGAGCCGGGGCUCUCUCGGUGCCACGGGGAGCAGCCAGACAAAGUUAAUUGUGCGCCUCCUCUGCACCUCCACCUCUGCGUCAGCACUCGGGGGAGCAACUGUGGAGGACACUGAUUUUGAAAAAGACAGACAAGUAAUAAUAAGGUUAUUAGUGCGGAGGUGACUAAUUACCUAAUUGUACUGUUGCAAGAAAGGGGGGA
ensembl:lncRNA